rnacentral:lncRNA from 1 species
AACUCUUGCAUCUAGGAUUGACUCUUAAAGUAUAUAAAAAUUGUUGCCUUCUAUUUUUAGCUUGUGACUGGGGUCGACUCCUGCAUAUCUGGGGUUGACUCUUAGGAUUCUAGAUUGACUCUUCAUCAUCUGGGGCCAACUCUUCAACUUGAAAUCUUCUAAAAUACUUCUUCAACUUUGAAACUUGCUCUUCUAGGAUUCUCUAUAGCUUUCUUAACUUUUUAAACUCAAACUCAAAGAUUCAAAUUUUG